rnacentral:rRNA from 1 species
UAUCUCUGUAGAGUCUGCAUAUCAAUAAGCGGAGGAAAAGAAACUAACUAGGAUUCCCUCAGUAACGGCGAGUGAAGCGGGAAGAGCUCAAAUUUGAAAUCUUCAAGGUUUUACCUUGACGAAUUGUAGUUUAAAGAAGUGUUUUCUGUUGAAGUUUCGGUAAAAGUUCUUUGGAAUAGGACAUCAUAGAGGGUGAGAAUCCCGUAUUUGACCGUUAUUUUCAGCUGUGUGAUACACUUUCAAAGAGUCGGAUUGUUUGGGAAUGCAGUCCAAAAUGGGUGGUAAAUUUCAUCUAAAGCUAAAUAUUGGCGAGAGACCGAUAGCGAACAAGUACCGUGAGGGAAAGAUGAAAAGAACUUUGAAAAGAGAGUUAAACAGUACGUGAAAUUGUCAAAAGGGAAGCGUUUGACACCAGUGUUGUUUUCUCGAAAAUCAAUUAAAAAUGGCUUGAUUUUGUGUUGUAUUGACCUUAAAAGCUUUCUUCACUUUUUUUGAGUCUUUCUUAAUGCACUUUUCGUUUAACAAGUCAACAUCAAUUUCUUUUGUUGUAAAAGAGUCAUUGGAAGGUGGCUUUCACUUCGGUGAAAGUGUUUACAGCCUUUGGCUUCUGCAAUCGGAGAGAUUGAGGUCUGCAGCGUAGAUCCUUCGGGGCUAGAUACGUAGAUGCUAAGUUAUAGUUUUUUAUAGACAACUUGUUGACUAUAAUUAAUCAUGUAGCUUACUCGUUUGCGCUAUUUUACCUACGCUUAGGAUGUUGAAGAUGUAGCACAUCAU